AAACCUAGGAAAAAAGAGUAGAUAAGGCUUUUGUCCAAGAAUCGCCCGAAUUGGUUUCUUGUGAUUUGUUGUUGGCGGCGGUGGUGGUGAAUGGCGCGUUGCUCCAUCGCGAAGCCGCUCGGCGGCACCACCACCGCGGCUCCUCACCGCUGCGGGCAGCUGCCCACUAGCGCCGCCGCCUCCCCGACCAUCACAACAAGAACGCGGCGGUUGUCGGCCAUAUCGAAACCGCCUAAACCACCGUCACCGCCUCUCUUCCCGCGCCCAAAGCUCCCCAUACCCACCACCUCCAAUGACGCCCCCACCAACAGCAAGCAAGACAACAGCAAAGAACUAUCGAUGAAUACAGUGUCCUGUCGGUCGUCCUCCGGCGCCGGCGACGUGCUCCGCCUGAUGGACGUGCUCUGCGUCGCGCCCGGCGAGGACGUCUACAUCUCCCUCCUCAAGGAUUCCGUCGACGCCUCCGAGGUGGCCGCAGUGCACGCCCACAUCAAACGCGCUGCGUUUCCCCUCCCCCUGCCGCUAGCAAACCGGCUGCUGCUCACGUACGCGAGCCGUGGGGACACAGCGGCCGCCCGCAAGGUGUUUGACGAAAUGCCCGUCAAGAACGGCAUCGCGUGGGCAACCAUGGUAUCGGCCUACUCCGACGGAUCCCUUCAUAACGAAGCGAUAAGGCUCUUCUCCUGCAUGCGUCACGAAGAGCUCGCUGCUGAUUUGCGCGAUUGUUCCAUCGUAGCGGUGCUGCGGUCAUGCGCUCGGUUGGGCGAACUAAGCUUUGGGGAGCAGGUGCAUGCGCUCGCCAUCAAGGCAGAGAGGGUGUGCGGCGAUACCGGUAGUUCGCUGCUGCAGUUGUACUGCGAGAGUAACCGGCAUGCCAGCGCGCGGCAGGUGCUUGAGACGAUGAUGAGGUGUUCUUCCCGGGAGCAGCCGGUGCCCGAGGCAGCCUGGACCAGCUUCAUGACAGCUUGCCACCGAGACGGCUUGCUGGACGAGGCCUUCCACGUCUUCAGGGACAUGGUGUCCUCCGGUGAUGCCAGGAGCGGUUUCUCCCUGUCGACCAUCCUCGCGGUGUGCGCAGGAUCAGAGAAGCACGGGUGCUUCGGACAGCAAGUGCACGCCGACGCCGUCAAGCAUGGCGUGGAGACAAACCAGUUCGUCGUUUCUGGGUUGGUCCACAUGUAUGCCAACCAUGGGAGGCUUGCCGAUGCAGCAAGGGCGUUCGAGGCAGUCGGCGGCGAGCCUGAUGCGGUGUGCUGGAACGCCAUGGCCAUGGGGUAUGCCCGUGGCGGAUGGUAUAGAGAGGCCGCCAGAAUGAUGUACCAGAUGAAAGCUGCUGGAAUUGAUCCUCCUGGAGUAAAUGUGGUCAGGAUGGCCUGCUCCAGAUGAGCUGAAGAAUGAGAUCCUUGGCUGCACAUCUAAGAUCAGGAAUUGCAGAAACCUUAGAAGGGUGAUCAGACAAGUCCACAUUGCGCAAGUUAAAAAAGAUGUAUUGUUUGGCAGAGGUCUUGAUGUCGAGCACAAUUGCUCUGAUGGCGCCGAUGCAUGCCAGAGCUCCAACGACAGAGAACAAUACGGCGACGGUGGAUCCAAGGGCCUUGGCAGCGUGCCGCAGCCCCGGGUUUUUGGGCAGCUUCCC